rnacentral:rRNA from 1 species
GAUGAACGCUGGCGGCGUGCCUAAUACAUGCAAGUCGAGCGAACAGACGAGAGUGCUUGCACUCUCUGACGUUAGCGGCGGACGGGUGAGUAACACGUGGGUAACCUACCUAUAAGACCGGGAUAACUUCGGGAAACCGGAGCUAAUACCGGAUAAUAUUUAGCUUCGCAUGAAGCAAUAGUGAAAGACGGUUCUGCUGUCACUUAUAGAUGGACCCGCGGGUUAUUAGCUAGUUGGUGAGGUAACGGCUCACCAAGGCAACGAUACAUAGCCGACCUGAGAGGGUGAUCGGCCACACUGGGACUGAGACACGGCCCAGACUCCUACGGGAGGCAGCAGUAGGGAAUCUUCCGCAAUGGACGAAAGUCUGACGGAGCAAUGCCGCGUGAGUGAAGAAGGUUUUCGGAUCGUAAAACUCUGUUGUAAGGGAAGAACAAGUACGUUAGUAACUGAACGUACCUUGACGGUACCUUACCAGAAAGCCACGGCUAACUACGUG